ACCAGGUGUGGUGGUGAACACCUGUAAUCCCACCUAUUUGGGAGGCUGAGACAGGAGGAUCAAAAUUUCCAGGCCAGCCUCGGCAAUUUAGCAAGACCAUGUCUCUU
rnacentral:sRNA from 1 species